rnacentral:rRNA from 1 species
CACUCCUGCGGGAGGCAGCAGUGGGGAAUUUUGGACAAUGGGCGAAAGCCUGAUCCAGCAAUGCCGCGUGAGUGAAGAAGGCCUUCGGGUUGUAAAGCUCUUUUGUCAGGGAAGAAACGGUGAGAGCUAAUAUCUCUUGCUAAUGACGGUACCUGAAGAAUAAGCACCGGCUAACUACGUGCCAGCAGCCGCGGUAAUACGUAGGGUGCAAGCGUUAAUCGGAAUUACUGGGCGUAAAGCGUGCGCAGGCGGUUUUGUAAGUCUGAUGUGAAAUCCCCGGGCUCAACCUGGGAAUUGCAUUGGAGACUGCAAGGCUAGAAUCUGGCAGAGGGGGGUAGAAUUCCACGUGUAGCAGUGAAAUGCGUAGAUAUGUGGAGGAACACCGAUGGCGAAGGCAGCCCCCUGGGUCAAGAUUGACGCUCAUGCACGAAAGCGUGGGGAGCAAACAGGAUUAGAUACCCUUGUAGUCCCAUGA